rnacentral:rRNA from 1 species
UACGAAGGGGGCUAGCGUUGUUCGGAGUUACUGGGCGUAAAGGGCGCGUAGGCGGCCCUCCAAGUCGGGCGUGAAAGCCCACGGCUCAACCGUGGAAUUGCGCUCGAGACUGAAGGGCUCGAGGACGGGAGAGGAUGGUGGAAUUCCCGAGUGUAGAGGUGAAAUUCGUAGAUAUUGGAAAAGAACACCGGUGGCGAAGGCGGCCAUCUGGGACCCGUAUCGUGACGCUGAGGCGCGAAAAGCGUGGGGGAGCAAACAGGG